AGGAAGGAGAAGUCGUAACAAGGUUUCCGUAGGUGAACCUACAGAAUGAUCAUUG
rnacentral:rRNA from 1 species